UACGAAGGGGGCUAGCGUUGCUCGGAAUCACUGGGCGUAAAGCGCACGUAGGCGGCUUUUUAAGUCAGGGGUGAAAUCCUGGAGCUCAACUCCAGAACUGCCUUUGAUACUGAGAAGCUUGAGUCCGGGAGAGGUGAGUGGAACUGCGAGUGUAGAGGUGAAAUUCGUAGAUAUUAGCUAGAACACCAGUGGCGAAGGCGGCCAACUGGUCCGGAACUGACGCUGAGGUGCGAAAGCGUGGGGAGCAAACAGG
rnacentral:rRNA from 1 species